AAUUAGAGUUAGGGUGGUUUUUUGAAUGAAGCUCUUAAAUUCUUCAUGUGGCUAUUGCAGCCAAAAUAUUCGGGGCAUGCUAAUUAGGGGUCUCAUUCGAUUUAGAUUCGAAUUUUACUAAAAUCAAAUCAAAUUUAAUUUAUAUUUGAUUUUCUAAGAACCCCCCCCCCCCAAAAAAAAAAACGAGUCAAACUGAAUUAACAGAAUAAACCAAACAAAAGAAUUAAAAUUUUUAGAAUAAAAAUCGAAUCAAACCAAAAUAGUCCAAAAAAACCGUAAAAACUGAAAAACUGAAGAAAGAAAAUGAAAAAUAAUACUCCCUCCGUCCUGCUAUUGAUGGCACGUAUUCCAUUUCGGGCUGUCCCA
rnacentral:lncRNA from 1 species